rnacentral:lncRNA from 1 species
AAAAUUAGAAAGAAACACCAUUUUGAUGGUUAAAAAAUGUGAAAGAAAACAAAAAAUGAGGAUGAAAAAGAAUUGAAAAAAAUGAAAAAAAAAAAUAUAAAGAAAAGUGGUAGCAAGGGCUUGCACCCAGGACAUGGGGGUAGGAGGCAUGAUGCUAAAACAAUCCCCCCACGAUCCUAUUGUUGAUAACCAAAUACAUCUAAAUAUAUAUAAUAUAUAAUGCUUUGUAAAACUGAAAAAGAACAAAAAAACAUGAAAAAAUGCAAAAAAAAAGGGUGCGCACGGGUUCAAGCUUAGGUCAUGAUGGUUGGGAAACCGAGUCUCAACCCCUACACCAUGACCAUUU